rnacentral:rRNA from 1 species
GACGAACGCUGGCGGCGUGCUUAACACAUGCAAGUCGAACGGUGAUGCUCCAGCUUGCUGGAGUGGAUCAGUGGCGAACGGGUGAGUAACACGUGAGCAACCUGCCCCAGACUCUGGAAUAAGCGCUGGAAACGGCGUCUAAUACUGGAUACGAAACUGGCCCGCAUGGGCAUGGUUUGGGAAGUUUUUCGGUUUGGGAUGGGCUCGCGGCCUAUCAGCUUGUUGGUGAGGUAAUGGCUCACCAAGGCGACGACGGGUAGCCGGCCUGAGAGGGCGACCGGCCACACUGGGACUGAGACACGGCCCAGACUCCUACGGGAGGCAGCAGUGGGGAAUAUUGCACAAUGGGCGAAAGCCUGAUGCAGCGACGCCGCGUGAGGGAUGACGGCCUUCGGGUUGUAAACCUCUUUCAGCAGGGAAGAAGCGAAAGUGACGGUACCUGCAGAAGAAGCACCGGCUAACUACGUG